UUAAUUUCCAGCUCUCCAUCACUUGAGGUCAAUCUUCAUUUAUAUAUACACCUUCAUUAAUGGUCUAGAAAAUAAAGAAGACAUCUUUCACAGUUUACUAAACAAGAAUACCAAUUUAUGCCAGGAAUGGUACCGAGGCAUCACAGGUAAGCUCCUAAUAUCACUGGGAUAGUGCAAAUGACUUUAUAGACUAGUAAUCAAUAUACUUCCCUAUCUGGGGAAGGGAGAUAGCCUAAAUCUUACUACAGCUUUACUUCUGUAUAUUUAAUGUUCAUCAAACCUUUCUUCUGGUGGAAUUCCCUAAUUCACCAGGAAAAAAAGAAUUUAAUUUUCAUUCACACUCUUAUUCACUACUCCUAUUCACAUUUACUACUGCAUAGUGAAUUCUUCCAGGAAAGUGGGACAAAAGCCAGAGAGGCAAUAUUCAUAUUCCUACCCUGCCUUAUCCAGUAGGCUAUGACGGCCUCAAGUGUGAAUCAAAAUUCUUAGGCAGAUGUCCAAAUCCAGGUGAAAUCACAAAAGUACUGAACGUGUGAGGGUGAUGGCAACUAUGGGCUCUGCAUCCAACAACUGGACAUUAGGAAAAAAAUCUUUGCUGUGAGGGUCGUCAAACACUGGAACAUACUUCCUAAAGAGAUGGUUGAUGACCCAUGCCUGACAGUAUUCAAGACGCGUUUGGAUAAUGACCUCAGUAAUAUGCUUUAACUUUUAGUUAGCUCUGAGGUGGCCAGGCAGUUGGACUAGAUGUUCUCUGAAGGUCCCUUCAAACUGUUCUGUUCUAUUCUAUUCUAUUCUGUUCUGUUCUGUUCUGUUCUAUUCCAUUCCGUUCCGUUCCGUUCCGUUCCGUUCCGUUCCAUUCUCUCCUUCCUGCAUUCAUUGCAGAACUCAAUCAGCCAAGUGUUGGCCAGGCAAGCUUGCUCACCCACAGUGCACCUCAAGUAGAUGUCCAGUGGGCCAGAGGUGGAUGGUGGUGACAGAAGUGUGCUGUGUGGGAGCCACGCUUGCAGGUUGGCACAGGAGAAAGAACAGACAACUGAGCACUCCUCUGAAGAAACACUCCCAACCUGGAGAGGAAGAGUUGAUUUAUCAAGGCAUGAAAAAUCACGAAUAAAAAUUAAAUAUGAAUAUCUUUAAAGUUAAUAAUUAAAGUAAAUUUUUCAUGAUGUGGGUGGUGAGACCACUGGAGCAGAU
rnacentral:lncRNA from 1 species